AUACAAGGAAAACUCACGAGUCCUUUUUUUUUGUUUUUAAUUUUUGGGUAUUAUUUGUGUAAAUAAUUUCUUUAGGGUUUCUGUAUUUUAUCAGAAGUCAUAAUUUCAGGGUGAAAAAAAAAAUCUUCAUCAACAUAAUUUGAAGAAAAAUGGGAAUUUUAUAUUCAUGAUCAAAAUUCCAAAAUAUGGGAACUUGUCUGUGGUAGAAGGCACUUAGUGAUCUUUCACAAAAGAGCGAAAGCAGACUCAAGACAUUUGGUUCUGAGGUUUAACAGUAUACUUGAUACGAGAAAUCCUUUGUAGAAAUGGAAUGUAACAAAGAUGAGGCUGGUAAGGCUAAAGAACUUGCUGAGAAGAAGUUUGUGGAGAAGGAUUUAAUGGGAGCAAGGAAAUUUGCAUUGAAGGCUCUUAACUUGUUUCCUGGACUAGAGGGCCUUCAACCAAUGCUGGCAACUCUAAAUAUUUACCUCUCUGCUGAGCGAAAAAUUAAUGGAGAAGUUGAUUGGUAUGGAGUACUUGGUGUUGAUCCAUCAAGUGAUGAUGAAACAGUGAAGAAAAUGUACAGGAAACUUGCCCUUACUCUUCACCCUGACAAAAACAAAUCUGUUGGUGCAGAGGGAGCAUUCAAAAUUCUUUCUGAAGCUUGGAGUUUAUUGUCUGACAAAGGCAGGAGAACAACAUAUGACCAAAAGAGAUGCGUAAAGAAGGUGUUUGAGAAAGUCAUACCAAAGAAGCCUUCAAAACCAGUUGGCAAGAACAGUAUUCGUCGUUCUGUCAACAAUGGUAAUUUUAACAUGAAGAGUCAGAAUGCCCCGAAUCCCCAUUUAAUAAAUUUAGUACGUCCACCACAACGUAAUACAUUCUGGACUAUGUGUACCACUUGCAAAAUGCAAUUUGAGUAUGUGCUUGUCUACCUCAACAAAAAGCUUGAAUGCUACAACUGCAAGGAGGCUUUUCAGGCAAUACAAAUCCCACCUCCGGAGACAAAUGCUAAUCCACCACAAGCUGCUCGAUUGCCCCAAUACCCCGUUGCCUCAGGAAAUGCAGGAAGCAUGCCUGCUGCAGCUUCCUCAGCUGCGCAAGCCAUGAAUGGUACGAAGAGAAUGCAUGAAAAUUCACAAGCCAGUGCUACCUUGGAGGCUGUAAUGAAGAGCAAAAGUAAUACCUUCAAGGGUAAUGUCGGGGAAGCUAAUGGAGCAGGCUCUACGGUGAACGGUCAGAAGCCUAAAAGAAGAAGACGUGCAAGUGAACAUAAGGUGAAUGACAGUGGAAUUGCAAAGACCGAAUGGCAGUUGAGGGGAAAUGCAGCUUCUAGCAUUGGGGUUUCAAAUGGAUUUCAGAAUGGUAUUACUGAAACAGAGAGGGUAUCUUUUUUUGGGACUAGAUUUCCAGCUAUCUCAAGAGAAUUGACACUACUUGAGACUCGAUAUAUGUUGAUGGCAAAAGCAAAGACUGAAAUUUGCAAAAAACUGGAAGAAUAUAAGAACAUGGAUGGCAAGCUGAAGGCUUCAAACACAGAGGGUGGUUUGAGAGAAAAAGAAAAGACGAAAUUAUCUAGUUCUAAAACUCAGCCAAAUUCUGUAGUAAGAACCGUUGGAAGCAAGCCUGAAGCAUGUGCACAAGUCAAGCACCCAGAUAUAAAACUCAAGACCGAUUCAUCCUCCAAUGAACCUGACUCCGAGGUAACCGAGCAUGUACCAUUGUCUAUGACUGUUCCAGAUGCGGAUUUCCAUGAUUUUGACAACGACCGAACUGAAAAGUCUUUUGGUGACAAUCAAGUAUGGGCAGCUUAUGACAAUGAAGAUGGUAUGCCCCGGUACUAUGCCAUGGUUCAUAGUGUGAUCUCGAAGAAGCCAUUUAAGAUGCGCAUCAGUUGGCUAAACUCUAAAAGCACCUCUGAGUUCGGGUCCAUAAACUGGGUUGGGUGUGGGUUCUACAAAACGAAUGGAGAUUUUAGAGUAGGUAGGCAUGAAAUCAACAAAAGUGUGAAUUCCUUCUCACAUAGAGUGAAAUGGACGAAAGGAGCAAGAGGGGCCAUCCGAAUAUAUCCAAGUAAGGGAGAUAUAUGGGCUUUAUACAGGAAUUGGUCCUCUGAGUGGGACGAGCAUACCCCGGAUGAGGUAGUGCACCAAUAUGACAUGGUGGAGGUCCUUGAUGAUUACAACGAGGAGAAAGGAGCAACUGUCAUUCCCCUGGUGAAGGUUACUGGUUUCAAGACUGUGUUCCGCAAACAAAUGGAUCAGGAACAAGUCAGGGUAAUUCCAAGGGAAGAAAUGUUCAGAUUUUCCCAUCAAGUUCCUUCAUUCUUGCUUACUGGUGAAGAAUCUGCUACUGCCCCCAAGGGUUGCUGGGAGCUUGACCCUGCUGCUACCCCAGUCGAACUACUUGAGGUGAUGACAACAGAAGUUAAAGCGGAAAAUACUGAGAAAGCUGCAAGAGAUGGUGUAUCUGAUAUGACAGAAGCAAGUUGGAGUAACAUUGCAACAAGUGAAGCACAGAAGAUAGGAGAGGGGACAAGUUUUGAGGUGGGUGCUUCAGUUGGAUAGAGAUCAUGAAAAGAAACAGGAACAUCAUACUGAUUUAUCGUAAUUUAUUUGAACAUAAAAUGGUAUGGGGAAUUUUUUUUGCGAGUGCUGAAGAUUUGAAAGACGUUAGAGGUAUCAUGGGAUGUUUCAUGCAGUAGCUGGUCUCCUUUCUUCAGGUUUUGCUCGAGGGAACCAAUCGCAUAAUCAUUUUUUUUUGGUAUGGGGGAUCUUUUGUGUAGUGUACAGCUUCAGUUACCACAGGCAAACAGGUCUUUUUUUGUUCUUAUAGUUUCAUAUUUUAUAGCAAACAGCAAGGGAGGGAAAAAAAACUCCUGGAUCUUUCUCUGAAUUCCUUUUCCUAUUUGAGAUCUCAGUCAUAUUUAUCAACUAUUGUUUGAUCAUACUUACUAUGGUAAGUCUGUGGCUGGUGCUGUAGCCUGUACAAUUUCGUUUAUGUAUUGCUUAAAUUAUUUCUUGAAAGCCUGUAAUUGUUCAUUUGUGCUUCAGGCUUCUGAGUAUUAUAUUCAGGAUAAACUACAAAUGUUAUGCCUGCUGAAGCGGUCUCAUAUAAACUCCUUUGGUUGGUGGACAGUGGUAACCGGCUUUGUGUAGGCACGCCGUUACACGUCGACCUGCUGCGGUUUUUCCAGUAGAGGUUGAGCAAAUGAAAUAUGAAGAUAGUUUCUGAACAACUGUUGCAUUUUGAAGGAAUUGGAGGAAGUACACUGUAUAUAUAUAUUUUUAUCAGGAAAGAAAGCAAGAAGAACUACUUACAAUCACCAUGAAUGAUGAGUUACAAGCUUUAGGAACAUAAAUUUUUUUCCGCGCGACACAUGCCUCUCUCGGUCCCAACUGAAAAUUCAUUCCCGUAAUCUUUCAUGUACCAUACUUUUCAUACACAAAAUUUUGUAAAAGAUAGUCAAUUUGCUAAUUAUCAUAUAACAUAUUAUGUUUUAUCAAAAACAAAAAAUAUAACAUAUUAUGUCAUUAAUCUCUAUCUGAUUGACGUGCUAAUACCAUAAUUGAUUCGUACUAA